GCGAGCCGGGCCGGGGUCCGGGCCGGCACCGCCUCAGGCGCGGCGGCAUCGCACGGCGCGCCGGUUCCGGCGGGCGGCUCGCG
rnacentral:tRNA from 1 species